AUUCCUUUGUGUUUCAUAAGCACAAUGCCUGGGUAUUCAUACAUUUAGGUGCUUUUGGUUCCAUCAAACCUUGUAAUAUUGCUGGAACAUUACCUAUUUUAUG